rnacentral:rRNA from 1 species
UAGUCAUAUGCUUGUCUCAAAGAUUAAGCCAUGCAUGUCUAAGUAUAAGCAAUUAUACCGCGAAACUGCGAAUGGCUCAUUAUAUAAGUUAUCGUUUAUUUGAUAAUACUUUACUACUUGGAUAACCGUGGUAAUUCUAGAGCUAAUACAUGCUGAAAAUCCCGACUUCGGAAGGGAUGUAUUUAUUAGAUUAAAAACCAAUGCCCCUCGGGGCUCUCUGGUGAAUCAUGAUAACUAGUCGAAUCGACAGGCCUUGUGCCGGCGAUGGCUCAUUCAAAUUUCUUCCCUAUCAACUUUCGAUGUUUGGGUAUUGGCCAAACAUGGUGGCAACGGGUAACGGAGGGUUAGGGCUCGACCCCGGAGAAGGAGCCUGAGAAACGGCUACUACAUCCAAGGAAGGCAGCAGGCGCGCAAAUUACCCAAUCCCGACACGGGGAGGUAGUGACAAUAAAUACUGAUACAGGGCUCUUUUGGGUCUUGUAAUCGGAAUGAGUACAAUUUAAAUCCCUUAACGAGGAACAAUUG